AAAGCUGACUGGGGAGGGAAUGGCCAUGGACUCCCAUUUGUCAGCUUCUGCUUUCUUCCUGGCUCUAG
ensembl:miRNA